AUUAAUAUAAAAAUAUUUUAAAUGGGUAGGGUUUACCAUACAAGCAAUUAGAAGUUCUUAUUUUUCCAAGAUGCAAUUGAAGAGGAGGCGCCGCAUAACUUCAGGUUAGACAUGCUAACUAUACAGAUUUAUAAUUAUAGGGAUGUUAGGCGUAAAGGGUGAACGAAUGUCAGGUAGGGAAUGAUUGAUAUCCAGCGCAUAUGAUUCAAAUUGAAGCAGUCAAUUUGAUGACUUUUCUUUCUAUUCUGAUAGUUAGUGGAAAAAAUUAAAAUAUUAAUAUGUUUAGGUAACGAUUGCCAAUCAUUGGCACUAAUAAUAACCCAUGAAUAUUAGGUUUAUAUGGAAUUCGUGGUUCUAUAUUUUAGCUUUUUUUUGGUAAACUGCUUUCGAUCUUGAAUCUUAGAGAAAUUAAAUUUUCGGUCUAGGAUUCUUUAGAGUAUGAAUUUAUAAAUGAGUGUCAUUAGAUUCGUACUAUUAUGUAGAUUAAAUAUUUGAACAAAUUUGAUCAUUUGGAGACUUUAUGGAAGGGUACGAUCUUUGCAAAUUAACUUGCAUUUGAAUUCUUCAGUGCAGAUGGUUACAGUUUAAUUGAAGUUUAGAAUCAUUUUAAUUGUCCCCAAACCUCUCUGAAACAAACUCCAAAAAUGAGAUAAAAUUUGUGUAUCUCGAUCUAAAAUAAUGGAAAUAGGGGCACCAUGCAAUCUAACUAUCUCCUCAAUAAACAACUGGCCAUAAUCCUCUCCAGAGUAAGUAGUCCUUACAGGCAAGAAGUGAGCUAUAUUAGUCAUCCUAUCCAUAAUGACCUAAAUCGAAUAAUACUAAUUGAGAGACCACGGAAGUCCCGUAACAAAAUCCAUAUUGAUCAUCUCCUAUUUCCACAUGGGCAAUUCAAUCUCUUGAGACAAGCCACCCGGCCUUAAGAGCUCAACUUUUAAUUGCUGACAAACCAUACACUUAGACACGAAGUUAGACAUAUCCCGCUUCAUAAUGUUCCACCAAUAGAUUUCCUUCAAAUCAUGAUACAUCUUUGUCGAACCUGGAUGAAUAGUACACCUCGACUCAUGAUCCUCAGCCAAAAUCCUCUCUCGCAGCCCAUCAAUAUCAAUAACAUAAAACCUUCCUUGAUACCUCAGGACACCAUCACCACCAAUCUCAAAGUCCAUAACCUUCUGCUUCCCCCCAUCAUCUUUAAUCUGCAUAAGAAUGGGAUCCAAAGUUUGUUUUACCUUCACCUCAAAACCAAGAGAUUUUAACCACUUCUUGAACAAUCACUCCCCCAUCCUCUGAGUCCAAAAGAUGAACUCCCAAGUUAGACAAUUAGUGAAUAUCCUUCAUAAAUCCUCGUUUCUUCUCAUCCACAUGAGAUAAACUCCCCAUGGACAACCUGCUAAGAGCAUCAACAACCAUAUUAGCUUUAUCUAGAUGGUAGUGAAGACUCAUAUCAUAGUCCUUUAGCAACUCAAGCCACCGCCCUUGUCAAAGAUUCAAAUCCUUCUAAGUAAACACAUACUGCAAGAUCUUAUGGUCUAAAUAGAUUUCUUCAAGUACCCCAUACAAAUAGGUGCACCAGAUCUUCAUGGAAAAUAUCAUAGCCGCCAAUUCUAAAUCAUGAGUCAGAUAAUUCCUUUCAUGAACCUUAAGUUGCCUAGAAGCAUCGACCAUAACUUUACCAUGUUGCAUCAAAACACAACCCAAUCCCAUAUGAGACGCAUCACAAUAUACAACAAACCAUCAGUACCCCCCGCUAAGGUCAAUACUAUCGCAAAAGUUAACUUAUCUUUCAAAUUCUAUAAGCUACCCUCACAAGCAUCAGACCAUAAGAACUUCACUUUUUUAUGAUCCAAAUUCAUCAAUAGAGUAGCAAUAGAAGAGAAACUCUUCACAAACCUCCUAUAAUAUCUAGCCAAGCCCAAGAAGCUCCUAAUAUUGGUUGGAGUCGUGGGAAUAGGCCACCUCUUAACCACCUCAAAUUUUUGUAUAUCCACCUUGAUCCCUUUGCUAGAAAUAACAUUCCCAAGAAAAGUCAUAACAUCUAACCAAAACUCACACUUUGAAAACUUAGCAUACACUUUUGAUCCUUAAAGGUCUGCAACAUGAUCCGAAGGUGAUUUACAUGAUCCUACUAAUUCUUAGAAUACACCAAGAUAUCAUCAAUGAAGACAAUAACAAACAAGUCCAAAAACUACUUAAAAACCUAAUUCAUAAGAUCCAUGAAAGUAGUCUAAGCAUUAGUCAAACCAAAUGACAUAACCAAAAACUCAUAGUGACCAUACCAGGUUAGGAAAACAGUCGUGGUAAUAUCACCCUCCCUAAUUUUCAACAGAUGAUAGCUCGAACAGAGGUCAAUCUUAGAAAAAAAUCUAGAACCUUGAAGCUGGUUAAAAGGAUCACCAAUUCUUGGAAGAGGAUCCUUACACUUUACUAUCACCUUAUUCAGCUGCCUAUAAUCUAUACACAUCCGAAGAGGCCCAUCUUUAUUAUGCACAAAAUGCAUAGGGGUACCCUAUGGAGAAAUACUAGGACGGAUGAAACUAUUAUCAAGAAGAUCUUUUAAUUGCACCUUUAAAUUCUUUAACUCUUCCAGAGCCAUUCUAUGUAGAGGAAUAGAGAUAAGAUGAGUAUCUGGUAGAAGAUCAAUCGCAAAAUACCAGAAAGAUCACCUAUAAAUACUUUAGGAAAUUCAUUAACCACAGGGAUAGAUUGUAAAGAGGUAACCUCAGAACUAGAAUCCUUAACCCGAACCAAAUGAUUAAGGCACCCCUUGGAAAUUAACUUUUGAUCUUUAAGAUAAGAAAUAAACUCCAUUAAGACACUAUGGAACUUCCCUCCCAAUCAAUCACUGGUUCAUUAGGGAAUUGGAAAUUGACUCUUCAGUUCCUAUAAUCUAAGGAAGCCUAGCACAAAUGUAUCCAAUCCAUCCCUAAGUUUUUCUCAAAAUCUAUAAUGUUAAGCACUACCAAAUCCACUAAGGUCUUCUUAAGAAAGAUAGACACCACACAACCCCUAAAGAUCUUCCUAGCCACAACAGAAUAACCCAUCAAAAUAGACUUAGAAAAAGGGUUGGAAGUAGUUUCGGGACCAAAACCAAAAUGCAUAGACACAGAAGAGGUCGUAUAAGAGAGGAUAGACCCCAGAUCAAGCAAACGAUACACAUCACGAGAGAAGAGCUUUAACGUACCGGUGAAAACAUUAAUAAAUUCCUUGAAUUACUGACGGAUGGCAAGAGCAUAAAAAUAUUUUUGACUAAUGUCAGUACUAAAAGUAGCACCCAUUGGUGCAGGAGCCAUAUAAAUAGCAACUUAGACCUUAUUAGCUCCAGUAGCCAUCUUAGCUGAAGAAUAGUUCCUCUGAAUAUGACUAGGCUAGUCACAUUUAAAAUAUAAGUUCCUCCUUUCAUCACAAUAACCAUGAUGAAGCUAACCACAAGGUCGAUAAAUAAGGUAGGGUGGGGCUGACUGAGCUCCACUAGCCCAAGACUGGGCAACAUGUGCCCUAGGACCACUACUUUUCUAAAAAAAUAAUCACUAGAUGGCUUAAGGUAAGGAGAACUAGACAAAAAGUACGAACCAGAAUUUCCCUAAGUCUUUUUCUUACCCUGUCGUCUACCAUCUCUCUCACUAUUUUGUUGACCUUCACCCUAUUUUGAAUACCUAAACUUCUUAUUCUAUCUCUUUCCCAUCCCUUUUUGCCUUUUCUUCUCUUUCUCUGCCUGUUUCUUAUAAACCACAAUCAAGAUAUAUCUAUAUCAUUGUUGAACAUCGUAGCUUUAUAUUCUAAUACCAAGUUAUGAGACAAUACCAAAGAAAACUUCCUCAUUCUAGCCCUUAUAAUAGAUACCAACUCCGAGGCAUAACGAGACAGCUGAUGGAACUUUAGGGCAUGUUUCUUCACACACAUCCUACUUUGCCUCAAGUUCACAAGCUCUUCAACCUUAAAUUUCCUCAAACCUAAAGUAAAGAAAAGAUUAAGAAAGGCACCAAAGAACUCUUCUCACAUAGCCUGCUCAGCAUCAUCACCCUUUGACUAGUUAUACUCCUCAUACCACUAAUAUUUUACAUCUUUCAGCUGAUACACAACAAACUCCACACCCUCUAUAUCAAUAGCAUGCAUUACCCUAAAGAUCUGCUCUAUCUCAUUAAUAAACUCUUAAAGAUCCUCCCCAACCUUAGAUCCACUGAAGGUCGGGGGAUUCAACCUCAUAAACUUCCCAACUCGAGUAACCUUAGAAGAACUCAUAGCAACACUAACUAGACCAGACAGAUGAGAUUGAGAUGUCACUAACUGAGUAAAAAGAUAAAUAGAGUGAUGUAACUUCACAUUAGAGAUUUCUCUUUGAAGUGAUUGAACAAGAUUAUCGCCAACUAGAGAAGGAUUAGUAGAGAUUGGUGGAACCCCAGGUGGAAUAGCACAAUCACGAGUAGAGACCCUACAUUGGGUAAGUACUCCAUAAAUAGGGUGAUUCCCCUUGGGUGGGGCAGAGGUUCUGGCAGAGCUUUUAUAAAUAUCAGAUCUUCGAGGAGGUAUUAUAUGAAAUACAAUCAAACUAGGAGUUAGUGAGAUUCAAUGGCCCUAGACUCUAUGGUUCGAAAUAGAACACAAGAAAGGAAAACAUUCCUAAAUGCCUUGUACCUUUCCCCAUAUAAGUAUGGUGCAUUACACAUCUAUAUAAAAAACUCUACAUGAUACGACUCUGUGGACACGCAAUGACCUUGAGCCUAUGCUUUGAUACCAAGCUUGUCAUGACCUAAAUCAAACCCUAGUCGUGAUGGGUAUCUCAAGCCCAAAAAAGACCACCGCCAUAGCAUAUCCAAUCGAGCAUACUAAAAAAUAAUAGUGGAAGAUAACUAAAUGAUAAAGUAGAAGAUUGGUAGAUAACUCAAUAAGAAACCAAGAAUCAAUAAUCUAUAACCACCCAUACUUCAUCCACAAAAGUCUCUAAAUGAAUAUCAACCUAAGUUGGGCAUACCCCCAACUAUAGCCAAAAAAGAAUCCAAAUGGAUGCAUAAGAUUUAAUAAAAUUAGUACUUUGAAAUGAUUGGCCUUCCAGAGUAAUGAAAGCUCACUACUUCAAGCUGACCAGCGGACGAACCAGAAUCACUUACUCUACAUAAGGUAAGCAAAGAAUCCCUAGGACCCUACAUCAUAAAAAGAUAUAGCGUAAUGACUUAUAGGGUUCUAGUCAUGAUUAGGAUAAAAUAGGUAAUCCUGACUAGUUUGAAUACUAUAGGCAUAAUCUGACUUGUGAGGAGUCUUUACGACUCAUCACUUGAGUGGUACCCUGAGUAGUGAGCACAAAUUGUAAGGAACUAUUUAGAGUCCAGAACCUAGGGUACUACAUCUUCAUACAUACUUAAAUUUUUGAUGAUAUUAAGAUUGUUGAAACUUGUAUAAAUAAUUAUUGAAAGUAACUUAAUGGAAUUACCUAGUGACUUUAAGUGUACUUGUAAAUUUAGCAAAUCAUAUUAUAUCCUGAGAAAUAAUGUAAAUUUAAUAAAACAUACAUAAUAUGGUUUUGGAUAAUUGGUACCACGCAGAUACAGAUAUUGAUAUUGAUAUUACUUAAUCAUAGAGGAUCGGGUACCACGUUGUUAUGGUACAUGGACUUAGAUUGUCCUUUACAGGUCAUGACUAGUUUGGAGAAAAUAUUAGCUUAUGUGUACAAAUUGGUAUUGAUUUGAGAAUUUAUAGAGUUUUAUAAGCUGAUAACGAACUAAUGGUUUCCUAAUUGUGAGGUUUGAAAGGACAUAAUUGUUACUUAUGGUAUUAUUGUUGAUUUGGUGGUUGUUUACGGCAUGGUUGAUAUUUUUGAUGGUUACAUGGCUUGUUUGUAAAGCAUUGUUGGCCUGUCAUUAAUGUAUUUGAUGAUUCAUUAAACACUUAUUAGGUGUUGAUGCUUGUAUACUUGUUCUCUGAUUUAUGUUUUAUACAUGUUAUUAAAUUGAGUUGACUGAUGAUACUUACUAGUACAUAGUGGUUUAUACUAAUACUACCCUGUACUCUUCUUUUGUUAAGUGGAGAAAGUGUUUCAAAGGCUCAGACAUGAUCUCAUCUCUAGUGUUUGAUAGCUGAUCUCAAUCCAAGGGUGAGCACUCCAUCUCCAGGAUGCCAUGGAUCAUUAUUUUACUUCUUGUCCAUCUUUCAGAAAAUGAGACAUUAUUUAUUUUUCCUUAUUUUGGAUAUUUAUUUUUUACAUGGCUUUUUAUUUUAGAAGUCCUUGUAUGAUGAAUUUUGAGUCUUGAGUAUUUCAAUAAGUAGUUUAUUUGAUUUCUGCAUUAAUAAUGAUUAGCUCUGAAUUAUUAUUAUUAAGUUGGUAUAUGAUAAUCUCAUUUUAAUAU
rnacentral:lncRNA from 1 species